rnacentral:lncRNA from 1 species
CUCUUGGCCCAGGGAGCAGUCCAUUUUGCACACCCUGGUCAGAAUGAAACAUUCCUUGGGAACUUGGGCCAUGAGAAGCAUCCUUCCUGAUCACCUGACUGUAGAAACAUCCUUAUCGCACCCUCCCGGG